rnacentral:rRNA from 1 species
GAUGAACGCUGGCGGCGUGCUUAACACAUGCCAGUCGAACGGAAAGGCCCAAGCUUGCUUGGGUACUCGAGUGGCGAACGGGUGAGUAACACGUGGGUGAUCUGCCCUGCACUUCGGGAUAAGCCUGGGAAACUGGGUCUAAUACCGGAUAGGACCACAUUUUGGAUGGUGUGGUGGAAAGUUUUUCGGUGUGGGAUGAGCUCGCGGCCUAUCAGCUUGUUGGUGGGGUAAUGGCCUACCAAGGCGUCGACGGGUAGCCGGCCUGAGAGGGUGUACGGCCACAUUGGGACUGAGAUACGGCCCAGACUCCUACGGGAGGCAGCAGUGGGGAAUAUUGCACAAUGGGCGCAAGCCUGAUGCAGCGACGCCGCGUGGGGGAUGACGGCCUUCGGGUUGGAAACUCCUUUCGCUAGGGACGAAGCGUUAUGUGACGGUACCUGGAGAAGAAGCACCGGCUAACUACGUG